rfam:Myotis davidii contig118926, whole genome shotgun sequence.
GGCUGUUCUCUGGUGACGCAUCCCAGAAUCGGGCUCCCUCCUCUCUGAAUUUGGGUGUGUCAUCCAAGAACCACA